rnacentral:rRNA from 1 species
GACGAACGCUGGCAGCGUGCCUAAUACAUGCAAGUCGAGCGAAUCAAUAGGAGCUUGCUCCUGUUGAUUAGCGGCGGACGGGUGAGUAACACGUGGGCAACCUGCCUGUAAGACUGGGAUAACUUCGGGAAACCGGAGCUAAUACCGGAUAAUCCUUCCCUGCACAUGCAGGGAAGCUGAAAGACGGUUUCGGCUGUCGCUUACAGAUGGGCCCGCGGCGCAUUAGCUAGUUGGUGAGGUAACGGCUCACCAAGGCGACGAUGCGUAGCCGAACUGAGAGGGUGAGCGGCCACACUGGGACUGAGACACGGCCCAGACUCCUACGGGAGGCAGCAGUAGGGAAUCUUCCGCAAUGGACGAAAGUCUGACGGAGCAACGCCGCGUGAGCGAUGAAGGCCUUCGGGUCGUAAAGCUCUGUUGUUAGGGAAGAACAAGUAUCGGAGUAACUGCCGGUACCUUGACGGUACCUAACCAGAAAGCCACGGCUAACUACGUGCCAGCCGCCGCAGUAAGAC